AUGUGGACCAGCUGGGGCGUCAUGGUCUGUCUUGCCAGCGAAGCGCGGGGCGAUUGUCACGUCACGCCGCGCUCAAUGACAUUAUCCGUCGGUCUCUUGUCACCGUCAACGUGCCAGCGAUACUCGAGCCGACCGGUAUGGCCCGGGACGAUGGCAAGAGACCGGAUGGUAUUGUGGGACGCGACCUGUGUGGACACACUGGCACCGUCUCACCUUCACGGUAC